rnacentral:misc_RNA from 1 species
UGCCCUCUUGGUGCGGUCACCUUACAAAAACUGAAAUCGUUGGUCGACAUUUUUUCCUUUUGUGUGUGUGUGUGUGUGUGUGUGUGUGUGUGUGUGUGGGCGCGUGCGUCGUUAGUGCUCUGAGGAACAACGAAAGAUGUUUUCCAGCCACAAAACCCCUGCAAAGGCGCAGCGUGACGGAUACGACGAUGAGCAGCACCUUGUCGCUGCGGUAUCGGAGUUCAAAAAGGUAGAGGCGUCCAACCAAUCUAUGGUGGAUCAGCUACACCAACGACUCGCAUCUCCGUUCCAAAUAACAACGAAGCCGUGUGAAGCGGGCCGGGCAGCAGUGCUGCAGUGCUAUCAGCAGCUGCAAAGCUCCUCGGCGAUCACGACUAGCAAGGCAGCAUCGUCGGCAUCGCCCGCGCCGCCGCUGGGAGCACGCAGCGACAGCAAGAGCUCCAACGUAGCUCCCGCUGAAGCGUGGCUCUCAAUUCCAUACCAACAGUGCUACGAGACCGCGCUGGCAUAUCACCAGUGCGUGGAGGACACGCUAGCAAAGCACUUAGCCCUCGUCGCUGUCUUUGAGCAGCGUGGCACCCAGCAGAAGAUAGCGCAUCAAUCAGUCAUGAAGGCUCAAGAUAAGCCACAAUGAAUGAGGGAGGGAAACCGACAAAUGUGCGCCUCAAACUACCAGGCGUCACGCCAGGUGUGUUGGUCAGACUGGGAAGCAGCCAGUGGGUGUAUGUCAGUCGAUUCGGCUCGCCUCUUCUGCUUUGCCUCCGCGCGCAGUGGAUCUGCUUUGUCUAGGCGAAAGGGAGGAGGGAGGAGCAAGAGGGAGGUGAAGAGUUGUACCCGCGACCCCUUCUCUUCCUUUGAUUGUUCAUGUUGCUAAUCGUCACACGCUCGAAGGGGAAAAAAAUGUAUUGGAGGUUUGUGUUUCAGAG